CUUGUUUUUUGGUGUACUAAUUUUUUUUUGGCCCCACCCAUUUCCUUAGGGCUGGUGCAAGGAUAUUUAGCUACACAGGCAAAAAUGCAUUUUGGCCGCCUGUGAUGCCUUUUGGUAGCGCAAGUCCUGCUUUUCCUACCACUGGCUGAUAAUUAUUAGAAAUGGCAGUCCACGCACACAUUUUCAAUUAUGGUCGCUAGAAAUGAUCAUUUUAUAGUACUGCAGUUACCUUUGGACCACAUUCCCCAUAAUGCCAAAUCUGGGAAAGUCACACAAAUUGAACGCACAAGCAAUGUCUAACUGUGGUAUGGCAAAUGUUUGUGAUGUAAUUUUACCAUAAUGUUCAGCCAGCCUAUUGGUUGACUGAGCAUCAUGGGAAUGUAGUACACAAACAUAUCCAUAAACAUGUGCAUAGUUAAAGGGACACUCCACUACCAAAAUACAAAAUAAAUAACCACUGUUUAGUAGAUAUACCCAAAUUGAACACCUGCAUGCAUUAAAUUAUGCAUUUUUUUUUCAUUGAAG